rnacentral:rRNA from 1 species
GCCCUUAGAGUUUGAUCCUGGCUCAGGACGAACGCUGGCGGCGCGCCUAACACAUGCAAGUCGAACGAGCGAGAGAGAGCUUGCUUUCUCGAGCGAGUGGCGAACGGGUGAGUAACGCGUGAGGAACCUGCCUCAAAGAGGGGGACAACAGUUGGAAACGACUGCUAAUACCGCAUAAGCCCACGGUGCCGCAUGGCACAGAGGGAAAAGGAGCAAUCCGCUUUGAGAUGGCCUCGCGUCCGAUUAGCUAGUUGGUGAGGUAAUGGCCCACCAAGGCAACGAUCGGUAGCCGGACUGAGAGGUUGAACGGCCACAUUGGGACUGGGACACGGCCCAGACUCCUACGGGAGGCAGCAGUGGGGAAUAUUGCACAAUGGGGGAAGCCCUGAUGCAGCGACGCCGCGUGGAGGAAGAAGGUCUUCGGAUUGUAAACUCCUGUUGUUGGGGAAGAUAAUGACGGUACCCAACAAGGAAGGACGGCUACUCUG